rnacentral:rRNA from 1 species
GGACUACCGGGGUAUCUAAUCCUGUUUGCUCCCCCUGCUUUCGCGCCUCAGCGUCAGUAACGUCCCAGAGUGCCGCCUUCGCCACCGGUGUUCUGCAGGAGAUCAACGCAUUUCACCGCUACUCCCUGCAUUCCGCACUCCCCUUCCGUACUCCAGCCUUGCAGUUUCAGGCGCACUUCCCGGGUUGGGCCCGGGGCUUUCACACCUGACAUACAAGGCCGCCUACGCGCCCUUUACGCCCAGUAAAUCCGAACAACGCUCGCCACCUCUGUAUUACCGCGGCGGCUGGCAC